CCUACGGGCGGCUGCAGUGGGGAAUUUUGGACAAUGGGGGCAACCCUGAUCCAGCCAUUCCGCGUGAGUGAAGAAGGCCUUCGGGUUGUAAAGCUCUUUUGUCCGGAGCGAAACGGGCGGCCCUAAUACGGUCGUCUACUGACGGUACCGGAAGAAUAAGCACCGGCUAACUACGUGCCAGCAGCCGCGGUAAUACGUAGGGUGCGAGCGGUGCUCGGAAUUACUGGGCGUAAUUUUUUCGCAGGCGGGUGAAAUCCCCGGGCUCAACCUGGGAAUGGCAUUUGGGACUGCAAGGCUGGAGUGUGGCAGAGGGGACUAGAAUUCCUGGUGUAGCAGUGAAAUGCGUAGAUAUCAGGAGGAAUACCGAUGGCGAAGGCAGGUCCCUGGGAUAACACUGACGCUCAUGCACGAAAGCGUGGGGAGCAAACAGGAUUAGAUACCCCAGUAGUC
rnacentral:rRNA from 1 species